ensembl:lncRNA HAND2-AS1 HAND2 antisense RNA 1
AGAGUUUUCAAGGUCCGUCCUAAGUACUAGGGGAGCAGCGAUAACCCGGAGGUAAGAUCACCAGCGCAAAGCAUCCCUAACCUUCUCCUCCUCCUGCUGACACCCUCCCCUCAACUCUCUGCUUAUGCCGGAAGCCAUCCUUACACAACCUGGUGCAAACAACCUUGAAGCGGGACGCAGCCAAAGAACACGAGAUGCCAUUUCUCAGCCCAAUUGGAAAGAGGCCGGGAGCACCAGUUCCCUGACCCCCUCAGCCCCACCGCCUGCCGCCCCCUGGUACUGACCAGCUCCUUCUUCCUCUUCUCCUCUUUCACGUCGGUCUUCUUGAUCUCUGCCUUGAAGGCCUCCGCCUCGCCAUUCUGGUCGUCCUUGGCCAGCAGGUCCAUGAGAAGGCACAGAUCAUUCAUGGGGAUGUAUAACCGAAACCAGUCCUCUCCACCGCCUGGGGAUCUUCACUUUCGCAGUCUACGACUGCCUGUGACUCCAGAAAGACAAACUGCAGAUUGGCCAAGAUGGGGAAAUUGAGGCAGAGAAGCCAAGACAUGUGCUAAAGGUCAUGCAGGCUAUGAAUGGAGCUGGAAUGUGAACGCAGGCCAUAUGACCCCAGAGCCCAUGUUCUUGAACCCUUAGAAAGACAGCAGCAACACACCUGGUGCAGCAGCUGCUUAGUUGGAGUGGCUGACAAGGAGAGAAUGAUUUCCAGGAAGAGCGGAACACAUAUGGAAGGCCUUAGCUUAUCUUUAGCGCCUCAUACACCCGUUCUGGACUUCAGAAAGGCCAGUGAGUGGGAUUAGGCCUCAGAGAUAGGAUGUCAGUCCCAGUGAGGGAUGGCCUAGAGCAUUCUUUAAUUCUUUCCUUUGGGUCACACAUAAGAAACAAUUUUCCAGCACUGAUGAGUGUUAUUAACAAUGAGAUGGGAUAGAAUUUAGUUUUCCCUAUGGCUGUGCUUCAAAAAUAGAAAAGCUGUCUUUUCUCUGGAAUGAUUGAAUGAAGCUCUGGGGAGGAAAAGGUGGAUUGGCAGAUCUCUUAAAGGAAGCUUCUCCUUCUAGGCACUAUUCUAAGGCUUAAUAUUUUAACUCCCUAUAUUAACCUAGUUCAACUAAACAGUGAUCUGAGUAAUUUUAUUUUUAUUAAAGCUCAGAUCAAAAUGCCAUUAACAUUGAUUGAGAAAAUCAAAGGAAUCUUUGAUGUGAGUGGUUAAAUUGCUGAAUUAUUUCAGUCCCAUACCCUCACAGCAUGAGUACCUGAUCUGAUAGACUUCUUUGGAAUUCCUUUUUUGUUUGAGACAGAGUCUUGCUCUGUCGCCCAGGCUGGAGUGCAGCGGUGUGAUCUCAACCAUUGCAACCUCCACCUCCCAGGUUCAAGUGAUUCUCAUGCCUCAGCCUCCUGAGUAGCUGGGAUUACAGAUGUGCACCACCAUGCCCGGCUAAUUAUUUUGUAUCUUUAGUAGAGAUGAAGUUUUGCCAUGUGGGCCAGGCUGUUCUCAAACUACUGGCCUCAAGUGAUCUGCCCGCCUCGGCCUCCCAGACUGCUGGGAUUACAGGCGUGAGGCACCGUGCCUGGCUGGGAUUCCAUAAUAAAUCCCUCUGUGUCUAUUUCUUUUUUCAAAUAUAAUUUUCUUCAUUUCCAAACAUCAUCUUUAAGACUCCAAGGAUUUUUCCAGGCACAGUGGCUCAUACCUGUAAUCCCAUUGCUUGGAGAGGCCAAGGUGGAAGUUCAUUUGAGGCCAGGAGUUCGAGACCAGGUGGGCAACAUAGUGAAACCUUGUCUCUACAACAUAAAAAAAAAAAUAAAACCCUAAGGAAAUAAUGGUGCCUCACUACCUUUCAAAGCUUUUGACCUUCAAGUCAGAAAAUAAAUUAUUUUUAGGAAAGGCAUCUCAACCUUAUUUACAAAUGAACUAUUUGUCAAGAGCAACCUCUAUAAGGAUAAUAGGACUUCCUGGUUUGAAAUGCAGCAUGAACAAUUCUCAGAGGCUCCUGGAAGACUAAGAAUGAGGUUUCUUGAUCCGCCUUCCCUCGGCAUCUUCUCACUCUCUUCCCUCCUUCUCAGAAGCUGUGUGCAGCAAUGGGCUAUGCAACUGGUUUCACUGGUGCCUGGUAGAACUUUUAAUUCCUCCCUGUCAGCACAUCCCUAGUCCACUUUCAUAGUUUGGAUAAGGACUGGAUAAGCAGCUGAACUUCUGGGGACUUUUCCAAAUGAAAUUCAACCUUUAGACCUUUGGAGGUUUACCCAGUCUUCCUCACUACCCGAAGAUGAGUUUGGAACAAAUUUUCUCUUAAUGGAUUCUAUUUGUGGGUAGGAGAGGUAAUGACUGCCUUGCUCAGAGUCAUGAGCAUAACUUCAAAUAAGGAAAAAGAGCCUCGCAGGAAUGUGAGAAUAGAUGCGAUCCUGAGGAAGGUGUGUCUGAGGAGGUGCUGGGAGGUUCUGAUCGGCUGUUGAAGGCAGAUACUGUAUCUCACGUGACAGAAGUCACCUCCUGACAUCAGAGUUGUGUUUGAGUGGUAAUUUAAAAAAUAAUAUAGCUGACAAGGAAAUGUGGAAGGCAUUACGUUGCAAUACAGUGAAAUGAACAUACAACAUUCAAGAUCAAUUACCGGGUACUGAUUAGCUGGGAGAAAGGCAAUAAAACUUUAAAAAUAGAAUUGGUAGAAAUAGCACCCUGUCAAGGUGGGACUGACUAUGCCUCCUGCUGGUUUGUUGCGAGGAAUUCUUUUUUUGGGAAAAUCCUGUUGAAUUGUGUGGCUUGUGAAUCUGGCUCUAGAACUGUUAAUGUUAUAAGAAUUGAAAGAGGACUAUUUAAAAAUACCAAGACAUCUUUUAAAAUUCCUAUUUUUAGAACAGCUACUUGUCAUUAAAAUAAAUCAUUCCAUUUCUAUUUGUCCAGGUUACUGCUUUCACAGCAGGGCCAGGGCUAUGGUGAAGUGUGGGAGGUGCCCAGUCCCCUUCACUGCAGUCAUGGCUCUGUUUCAUGCCACAUGUGUUAUUUUAUAAGUGGUUAAGCCCCACAUAGGCAUGCAAACAUGGUACAUCUCUAUGUAUUGGUUUUGGUAAUGUUGUAAAUAAUUGGGAGAAUACAUUAAAAUUUGGUAAUAGUGCUCCUUUGGACUCAGUCUCUUUUUUUUUUUUUAAGACAGAGUUUCGCUCUUGUUGCCCAGGCUGGAGUGCAAUGGCAUGAUCUUGGCUCAUUGCAACCUCUGCCUCCUGGGUUCAAGCAAGUCUCCUGCCUCAGCCUUCCUGAGUAGCUAGGAUUACAGGCAUGUGCCACUAUGCCCGGCUAAUUUUGUAUUUUUAGUAGAAAAGGGGUUUCUCCAUGUUGGUCAGGCUGGUCUUGAAUUCCCGACCUCAGGUGAUUCCAGUUCUAAUUCCCCAACAGAGUUGUCUUGGUUGCAGUGAGAUAUAUAUAUAUAUAUAUAUAUAUAUAUAUAUAUAUAUAUAUAUAUAUAUAUAUUUUGAGAUGGGGUCUCGCUCUGUCGCCCAGUCUGGAGAGCAGUGGCGCGAUCUUGGCUUGCAGUGAGACAUUUUUAUCCAUCCUGAUCACAGCACUUGCCUCCGGGCUCAUGAAGCCCAGCAUGUUACUGCUGUUCUGAACGUCUCUGCUUUUUGAGAGACAUGUUUAAUGAAUUGGGAGUAUCUGUGCACAUUGCAUUCACUUAAAAAGGGAAAAAUACCUUUUAACAGUUAUAGCUACAGAAAUUCAAUUUAGUUUAUUUAGGAGGAAAUGAGAGACUUGAAUUGUAGGUGUGAAAUCUUACAAUCUUUCAGAAUGAUUUGGUUUGGGGGAUGGUUGGAACUGCAUGGAAUUCCUUCAGCCAAAAUAAUUUUUGUGAGCACAUUCCCAAGCUCACGAUCAUGUUUUGAUAAGAAAAAUCCCUUUCUCCACAAGUUCUCAGGUCCCACUCAUUGGCCCCUGCCCUCAUUUCUGGAACCUAUGUUAGGCAGUUAUGUGGCUCAGUUCUUGGUGAUAUGUUUUCAAUUUGAGUCAACUUGAUGAGAGAAAAAUUACUAAAAAGUGGGAAUGAGCUGUGAGGUGAACAGGGUUUUCCUAUCAAAGUGGAGGUAUUUUUAAAAGCAUUUAUUAUUUCAAACUCAAACAUUUAUAGAAAGCCAUGAGUGUGAAGUGUAUGAUUACCAGUUGUGGCUUGCUGCAUUGAAAAAUUCAAGUUCAUAGGAAAUAUUUACUGAGGCUCUGGUUUGCAAGCAGUUUGUUCAAGAGAACAAUUUGGUCCAGAAGGCAUGUCAGCCAAAAAAGAGUUUACUAAUAUAGUAGUAACAGGCAAUUAGGAUUCAUAAGCAUCGCCAUGGCUGAGACAUGAUUUAAGGUCUUAGAUGGAAAGAGUUCUGUUAUUAAGAUAACAGAAUUUAAAUGCUGUAUCUGUCUAGGUCUUAUGCAUGUCAGAAGUGAGAAAACUACUUCUUCAUUUUCCAUUUUUAUGAGCUCUGAUGUAACACAGUUUUUUUUUUUUUCUGUGUUGAAAAUGAUGAAUAUAGUUCUUGGCACAUUUGUUCCAUAGUAAAGAAGAAUUUAACUUGCAAGUGAAAAACCUCUGCCUUUGGCCAUGGAUUAAAAAGAUGUUAUAUGAUGAAGUUUACUUCCUAAGGAAAGGUUAGUUUUGUGUGGCACUUUCUGAAAAUUUGUUUGGGACAUAUACAAUUCUUUUGUAUAAAUUCUGGAGGUCUGAGGAAAAUUACUUAAUCACAUUAGAUGAGAACAUUUCUUUUUGUGUGAAUUGAGUUCUUAUCAAGGUUCUGAUGUUUUUUCUCAUGUAUUUGCCCUUGGGUUCAUCUCAAUACAAUGCAUUUGUGUACUAUUGAAUAAAAAGCAGGCUGCAACAGUAUUUAUGACAUAUGAUCCUAUAUACACGUAAAAUCUUGUGUGUGUGUUUGUGUGUGCACAUGCAUAUAAAAAAAACUACAUUGUUAAAGUUGUUAAUAGUUAACUCCCGGUGGUGGGUUUUAAGUGAUUAUUAUUUUCUUUGUAUAAGAAAAAUAGUGCACAGUUUUCUUUUGUUGUUACGAAAGGUGUCAUACAUUUGAAAGAGGACAUAUGCACAGUUUAAAUAAUAAUAACAUAGUGAAUACCCACUGCUUGGCUGAAAAAAAUAAUUUAUUACUCUGUUGCAGAAGGCAAGCCUUCCUUCUGCCCCUGCCUCUGUCAUGGAGGUAGCUACUUGCUUGAAUUUUGUGCUAAUCAUGUCUUUGCUUUCUUAUAUAGUUUAGCCAGCUGUGAAUGUCUCCAUAAAACAUACACAGUUUUAUUUUGAUUGUUUUUGAACUUUAAAUAAAUGAAAUCAUACUGGAUA